GAUGAACGCUAGCGGCAGGCCUAAUACAUGCAAGUCGAACGGGAUUAAGAGGCUUGCUUCUUAUGAGAGUGGCGCACGGGUGCGUAACACGUAUGCAACCUACCUUUAACUGGGGGAUAGCCUUCCGAAAGGGAGAUUAAUACCGCAUAACAUAAUUGAACGGCAUCGUUUGAUUAUCAAACUUCCAAGGGUUAAAGAUGGGCAUGCGUCCGAUUAGUUAGUUGGUGAGGUAACGGCUCACCAAGGCAUCGAUCGGUAGGGGAUCUGAGAGGAUGACCCCCAACCCUGGUACUGAGACGCGGACCAGACUCCUACGGGAGGCAGCAGUAAGGAAUAUUGGUCAAUGGACGCAAGUCUGAACCAGCCAUGCCGAGUGCAGGAAGACGGUCCUCUGGAUUGUAAACUGCUUUUGUUAGGGAAGAAACCCUCUGAUGCGUCAGAGGCUGACGGUACCUAAAGAAUAAGGAUCGACUAACUCCGUGCCAGCAGCCGCAGUAACAC
rnacentral:rRNA from 1 species